UACAGAGGUCUCAAGCGUUGUUCGGAUUCAUUGGGCGUAAAGGGUGCGUAGGCGGCGCGGUAAGUCGGGUGUGAAAUCUUGGAGCUUAACUCCGAAACUGCAUUCGAUACUGCCGUGCUUGAGGACUGGAGAGGAGACUGGAAUUUACGGUGUAGCGGUGAAAUGCGUAGAUAUCGUAAGGAAGACCAGUGGCGAAGGCGGGUCUCUGGACAGUUCCUGACACUGAUGCGCGACAGCGUGGGGAGCAAACAGG
rnacentral:rRNA from 1 species